UAAAUUGCCUAUGAUUCUGUUGGCAGCCUUGAAAUUAAAAUCAGAUUAUGAAUUGGGGACAACCGAAUAUGACUACCAAAUUGCGAAUUGUUUGUUUUCUCAAUUUAAACAAGUAAGUAGUAUGGACCAUUAAAAUAUGACCGAUGAAAUAUUAUGUUACUUUUUUUUUUCAGUAUGACAUGAUGUAGUGACGUAUUAUGGAAAAGGGGGCGGAAUUCAAGAAAAACUAAAUCGAAGUUUAUUGAUUUCACCUACUCAAUUGUUAUGAAGUUUUAAUGAAAAGUUGUUGAAAUAUAUUUGUUUUUUCUUCAGGUUAAUUAAUUAAUAACUGUUAGUAUAGUAAUUUUUAAUCAUAAACAAAUAAUGGUUUUUGAUUACAUUAUGUUUUAUUCAUUUAUUAUUUUAUUAAAUUAAAUACAGAUUUUUGAACGGCAU